CUUCUAGUGAUGAUACCUUUGUCCAGUUCUGCUGCUGAAAGGAGAAUGAUGACAAAUCUUUUAUCUGAAGAAG